CGUUUUUAGGGUUUCCUCUCUUCAAACGAGCCGCCGCCAUCUCAAAAAAAAAAAAAAAAAAAAGCCGCCGCCCCCAGGCCGCCGCCGCUCCACCUCCUGGUGCCUUCGCGAGCUCCCUGCUAUCGCGCCCGAUUUACCCGCUCGUGUGUGGCAUGGGCGAUCCAAGGUCAGUGAUACCGCUGUAGCGGGCGGGCAGCGGCACCUUCGAGAAGUGCGGCAUGGAAGAGGACGAGGAGAUGGGGUCGACUGCUCUUACGGCGCCGCCCUAUCUUCCCCGUCCGCCGCUGAACGAAGGAACCAGGGAGGAGAGUCUUCCGUGCCGGUCGUUCUGAGCAUGGCCGCCCAACUGGCGAUGCCACAUCCCGAAGCCGAAGCAUGACCGCCAGACUGUCGUGCCGCCUCACCAGGUUUCUGCUACUAUCCCCUAGAUUCGAUUGUCAAGAGGAACAGUACAACAAGGUACCGGUGCAAGGCCAUAAAAAGAAUAGAAAUAGACUGUGUGCAUGCUGUUUACUAGAAGAAUUUGGGAAGAGAGUAUCCGAUCUUUGGGAGGAGUGGCGGGAAUGCAGGAAACACGGUCUAACCAAUUUUUCAGUUGGUUGGGCCACCUGGUACAUGCUGGUCAGUUUGCUCUCUAGCUCAAGAUGCGGAGCUCAAUUUUGUCCAAAUAUAGUUCAAGAUACACUAGCAACCGGGAUACAAGGAACUUGAGAUGAACAGGAGAAACACAUAAUAUGAACUUGCAGAUAUUGGUACUCAAAAUAGUAACGAAAUGAUGUGUAUGUAAAAUUUUGUCAGCACUGAGAGUAGUCUCAAUACAUAUUUGGAGAGGCCAAGUUGGUCACCUUCGAGCGCUCAUAUCCGUUAUGCUAGCUUCCGGACUGACACCAAGCGAAGUCAUGCGGCGAAACAUAGGAAAUACUAUGUUGCAUAUUCUUGGUUAUUUAUUUAUUUGAUAAGCUGGACUAAUCUAUUUUGACUAUAGGACAUGCACUGGAAUGAAAUCAUGCGGAUAUGUGCUGCCAUGUCAUCUGGUUGUCGAACAAACAAGUAUAUGCUUUACAAAGAAUAGUACGAUGCAAGGCCAUACGGAAGUUGUGAAUGAUAUUAAAAAGGGUUGGCAAUGCCAUGAGUAAGCAAGUAUCCUGGCAAAUAUUAGGGAUCAACGAAAAGAUAAUCAGGGACAAGAUCAUGCUAGCAACUGGUAUUUAUUUUGCUGGAUAUUUAAGUGAAUUAAGGUUUUUCCUAUGGGCUUCGUGAAAUUAAAAUUUUAAAGCACAUCACUGUAAUUUUCUAUACGGGGUCGGGUAUCAUGUUAAUUUCUCGGGUAUGGGCUUCGAGUGUCUGGUUAUGUGCCCACCCUCAAUGCUAGAACUCUUUAUAUAUUACCCUUUUUACUGAAUCUUUUAUUGAUGUAAUUUUUUUCUCAUUUUUAGUAUAUAAAGAGGUGAUGCACAACGGUGAAGGAGAGUUGAUAGAGAUUAUCCAACCAGCCACCUUUCCACUAUUGCUAAAUGUUGCCGCAACGUAGAAUGUUGGUUUUACCAUGUAAACAAAAGAAACAUCCCACACCUUCGAUCUUUUUUUUUUUGUUGAGAAAACGCAAAAUAUUUGCGUUUCAUUUCAUUGAAAGGGCAUAAGGUUCAAGGGUACACUCCUCCUAAGAAGAUAUAAUGGUUACAACAGGUUACAUGAAUGCACAUCCUUUGUCGUCCGGCUAUUGCUGAAUGUUAUCAAUUUUAUAUUAUUGGUUUGCAUGGCAGGUUACUGGUCAAGUGAUUCUCUUUUUUUUUUCUACUGUCAUCUAUCUUACAUUUUUUUUCUUAUGUGACACCUUGAGGCCAGAGAGAGUGAGCAGGUGCAAGCAUAUCGUAUGCAUCAGUCUUCCCACAUAUGUGUGUCAGUAGCAGACCGAAGCCGUUGACAUCAUAGGUGUUCUUCAGAUGAUGUGCCUCCAUAAAAAAGAGGGGAAUCCAUCAAUAAAAGGAUGCUAAGGGAUUUCUCUGCAUUCUAUCAGUUGGGACUGUCAAGUGUUUGCAUAGGAAGGAGCGCCAGGAAGGAGCGCAUACGUCAGUUAGUUGAUGAUAUGAACUACGAGAUGCUGAUGCAGUUGAAACAAUUGUUUGCACUGUUUGCAUAGGAAGAAGCGCCAGGAGAGCGCAUACAGCAGUUAACAAUGCUAGCUGCAAGACCUGCGUGUGAGCACACGACAAUCUCUUUGCGGUUAGCACAUGACGAUCUCCUCCAGUAAUACAACACAAUGCAUCUCAAGCAUGAUGGACUGCUGAACCAGCAUAUAGUUCUUCAGCAGGACACCUCUCUUCGCCAAGACCAACUCAAUUUGCUCCCAUCAGCACUCUGCUCUCCCCAUCACAGCCACCAUGUCCCCAUCAUGUUGUGCUGGUUCUCCCCAAGUUACUCCGCUUAGCAAGUUUGAUUAUUACAUUAUUCUUACUUCCUCAUCCUUGGUAAAGAUAGCACCAGUCAAACGUUCAGAACUCUUACUACAGAAAAUCUCAAAAUAUUUGUUGUUUCUUCCUCUGAAAUUGCAUUUGAAUUAUAUAAAAUAAAUAUGUAUAUCACCUAAUUAGAACGUAAGGUUAGCCUUUUUUUAAUAUUGUCCAUCUCCAUUUUUUUCUAAAUUUAAGUACUUGCAUGCCGUGCCACCUUAAGUAUUAUUGUAUAUAUCAUACUGUAUAUUCGAUCUUAAAGCUACUGGACUACUUCAAUAGCGAAAGCAGUUGUUAUUAUUUUACCAAUAACUUAACUUUUGUAUCCUUUCCGAUUCGGUCGUCACUAUUUUACUCAACUUUUAUGUAGCCUUGUGGUUGUACAUUUGAACUUGUACAAAACUGUUCCGACAGUAAAUGUGUUACUGUCCAAGUUGCAUGUCAACGCAAAUUAACAAUAGCGUAUGCUUGAAGAGACAAAAAAAAAAUCGGUUGGAUAGAUGUAUUUAUUAUAUGAUUAAGAGUAAAUGUCAGUAUAGGUUCUGUCCUCUAAACUUUUUUAUAAGAAGACAUCUACCUUCCUUGAAUUGAUGCUCCAGUUCAUCAAGGCAUUGGUUAUUCACCAGUUUAUAGAUGUAUUAUUAUGAUAAGAUAGUAUUUUUUAAUAUAUUAAUUUGCAAUAUAAGUUCUACCAGCUUUUUCUGCAUCCACCAUUUUAGAUUGAUUGCAUACCUUACUUUCCAAAUUUACGGAGUUUCGUUGGUCAUUACAUAAGUUGUACAACCAAUAUAUGGUUGCACACUGUCAUAAACUAUCAUCUUUUCAUUGUGCUUUCGCUAAUUGCAAGAAAAUGCAUGCUUAUCGUCUCAUAUUUGAUUUCCUUAUUCUAGAAACUGACCGCUAAUGCAGAAACCGCAUUAAGCAUGUUGUCAUUAAUAUUGGAGCCAUCUGAAUCUUGGUGAGCAGCAGGAGAAGGUCAGCCUUGAAGGCUUGACUGGCUUUGUUGCCCUCAACUCAAUUAGUUGUCGCUAGCCUCCAGCACUUUGGCCAGGCGUGACCAACCGUUCUAGCUCUGGCUUGCUGCUGCGUGUAAUACAAUGUACUGAACAAGUUUACGACUCUUUUGUCAGUAUAAGUGCUCAAGCUCUUCACAAAGUGUGAUUUUUUUGCCGCUGUGUAUUUUUUUUACUAUUUUUUUGUAAAACAUAAUACAAUCAAAGACGCUCACGCAUACGUGCACACACUCACCCCUAUGCGCACACACGCACACCGUGCUCCUAUGAGCACCUCUAAGAGACUGCGUCGAAGAUCUGAUCCGGUGGGUUUUGAGAUUGACGAAGUCACCACAUGCGUCUCGCUGUUGACGGAAACAUCGUCUCUCACUGAAGAAUAUUCCGCAUUUU